rnacentral:rRNA from 1 species
UACGAAGGGGGCUAGCGUUGCUCGGAAUCACUGGGCGUAAAGGGCGCGUAGGCGGCCUCUUAAGUCGAACGUGAAAUCCCCGGGCUCAACCCGGGAACUGCGUCCGAUACUGGGGGGCUUGAAUCCGGGAGAGGGAUGUGGAAUUCCAGGUGUAGCGGUGAAAUGCGUAGAUAUCUGGAGGAACACCGGUGGCGAAGGCGGCAUCCUGGACCGGUAUUGACGCUGAGGCGCGAAAGCCAGGGGAGCAAACGGG